AUCAUACCUUGUAGCACACGGAUC
rnacentral:siRNA from 1 species